rnacentral:snRNA from 1 species
AGCUUUGCGCAGUGGCAUUACCGUAGCUGAUGAGGUCCAUCCGAGGCGCGGUUAUUGCUGAUUGAAAACUUUCCCAAUNNNN